rnacentral:rRNA from 1 species
AUUGAACGCUGGCGGCAUGCCUUACACAUGCAAGUCGAACGGCAGCACGGGUGCUUGCACCUGGUGGCGAGUGGCGAACGGGUGAGUAAUACAUCGGAACGUACCUUAUCGUGGGGGAUAACGCAGCGAAAGCUGUGCUAAUACCGCAUACGCCCUGAGAGGGGGAAAGCGGGGGAUCGAAAGACCUCGCGCGAUUAGAGCGGCCGAUGCCUGAUUAGCUAGUUGGUGGGGUAAAAGCCCACCAAGGCGACGAUCAGUAGCUGGUCUGAGAGGACGAUCAGCCACACUGGGACUGAGACACGGCCCAGACUCCUACGGGAGGCAGCAGUGGGGAAUUUUGGACAAUGGGGGCAACCCUGAUCCAGCAAUGCCGCGUGAGUGAAGAAGGCCUUCGGGUUGUAAAGCUCUUUUGUCAGGGAAGAAACACCGGCUCUAACACAGUCCGGGAAUGACGGUACCUGAAGAAUAAGCACCGGCUAACUACGUGCCAGCAGCCGCCGUAA